UGAGGGAUAUUGCACAAUGGGCGAAAGCCUGAUGCAGCGACGCCGCGUGGGAGAAGAAGGCCUUCGGGUUGUAAAUCCCUUUUUUGCGUGACGAGAAAAAGGACGGUAGCGCAAGAAUAAGUCUCGGCUAACUACGUGCCAGCAGCCGCGGUAAAACGUAGGAGACAAACGUUAUCCGGAGUUACUGGGCGUAAAGGGCGUGCAGGUGGUUGCUUAAGUCUGAUGUGAAAUCUCUCUGCUCAACGGAGAGGGUGCGUUGGAUACUGGGUAACUUGAGGACGGUAGGGGUGGAUGGAAUUCCGGGUGUAGUGGUGAAAUGCGUAGAUAUCCGGAGGAACACCAGUGGCGAAGGCGAUCCACUAGGCCGUACCUGACACUAAGACGCGACAGCAUGGGGAGCGAACG
rnacentral:rRNA from 1 species